rnacentral:rRNA from 1 species
ACGAACGCUGGCGGCGUGCUUAACACAUGCAAGUCGAACGGUGAAGCGCUUGCCUUUUUGGUGGGUGUGGAUGAGUGGCGAACGGGUGAGUAACACGUGAGUAACCUGCCCUCUUCUUCUGGAUAACCUCAUGAAAGUGGGGCUAAUACGGGGUAUUCCGGGUCUGUCGCAUGGCGGGUUUGGGAAAGAUUGCGCCUUUGGGUGUUUUCGGUGGGGGAUGGGCUCGCGGCCUAUCAGCUUGUUGGUGGGGUGAUGGCCUACCAAGGCGGUGACGGGUAGCCGGCCUGAGAGGGUGGACGGCCACACUGGGACUGAGACACGGCCCAGACUCCUGCGGGAGGCAGCAGUGGGGAAGAUUGCACAAUGGGCGCAAGCCUGAUGCAGCGACGCCGCGUGAGGGAUGGAGGCCUUCGGGUUGUGAACCUCUUUCGCCAGUGAAGCAGGCCUGCUCCUGUGUGGGUGGGUUGACGGUAGCUGGAUAAGAAGCGCCGGCUAACUACGUG